UUUCUUUUCUCUUAAAAUUUGCAUGUUUCUCUUUCUCUUUGCUUGUUCGGAAUCAUGCAACAAGAAACAAAUUUAAGAAGAGAAAGACAUUUUAAGAAUGUCUUCUCUUGAAGAGAUUUUUGAUUAUUUUCUUCGAACGCCGGAAUUCGGCUGCAGAUUUCUGCAAACGCUGUUUGAAAAGGAACAGGCCUAACCUGUUCGUUGCUGAUGUAAAGAUCACAAAUUCGACGACUUAUCCUUGCUGCUUAUGAAGGAAAGUGAUUUAUUCGAAAUAGCAAUCGCAGAGAAAAGACUCCGGAUGAUAAAAACACCUAAAACACCUAAAAAGAUUUGCCGAGAAGUUCUCGCAGCAGACAAUAGGUUCAGAUUGAAUGUGCUACAACAUAUACUGGAGCAAGGACACGUGCCUGAUAGAAACGGCCUCAACUAUCUCACAAGAGUAACUUGCCGACAAUUUGAAAACCGGAUUCUGGCUGGCAAAUCGUAAGAAACAUUUAUAAUUUAUUACUUUAAAUUAAGUUGUUGGUUUUGUGUUACUUGUUUCUUCGAGUUAGCGAAGUGAAAUUUGAACUUACUAUUCAAAAGAGUCUCCCCAUCAGUAUAAAUUUAAUUUUUAGUUAAAGUUUAAAUUUUUUUCGAUGUGAGAGAAACAACACAUAGAAAAAAUCUUUGAAUUAAUU